UACGUAGGGUGCAAGCGUUGUCCGGAAUUAUUGGGCGUAAAGAGCUCGUAGGCGGUUUGUCGCGUCUGCUGUGAAAACUGGAGGCUCAACCUCCAGCCUGCAGUGGGUACGGGCAGACUCGAGUGUGGUAGGGGAGACUGGAAUUCCUGGUGUAGCGGUGGAAUGCGCAGAUAUCAGGAGGAACACCGAUGGCGAAGGCAGGUCUCUGGGCCACUACUGACGCUGAGAAGCGAAAGCAUGGGGAGCGAACAGG
rnacentral:rRNA from 1 species